rnacentral:rRNA from 1 species
AGGGUUUGAUUAUGGCUCAGGAUGAACGCUGGCGGCGUGCCUAAUACAUGCAAGUCGAACGCGAGCAGCAAUGCUCGAGUGGCGAACGGGUGAGUAAUACAUAAGUAACCUGCCCUAGACAGGGGGAUAACUGCUGGAAACGGCAGCUAAGACCGCAUAGGUAUGGACACUGCAUGGUGACCAUAUUAAAAGUGCCAAGGCACUGGUAGAGGAUGGACUUAUGGCGCAUUAGCUGGUUGGUGAGGUAACGGCUCACCAAGGCGACGAUGCGUAGCCGACCUGAGAGGGUGACCGGCCACACUGGGACUGAGACACGGCCCAG